GAGAUCAUUUUGGGGUGCGUUAUGCUGAGAGAGACCCAUUGAACCUGUCAAGUUAGUGCUUGCGAAGGGAAAGUGAUUGCAUCAAGA
rnacentral:ncRNA from 2 species